rnacentral:lncRNA from 12 species
GCAAAGUAAGGCAUGCUGCAUGGGCAGUUUUUCCCAAGUGAAACAAUUCCCACUUGCUGGCAGAAACCUCAGUUGCUAUUCUGGUCCUUGAUAAAGGAAUGGCUCAGCUGCAGAGCUGGAAUGAGACACGGGACAGACAGCAAAGCAUGUCUUCUCUGACUUGAACAUGAUCAGAACUGAGUCCCAGCAUCCCAGCUGACAUCUUACCAAGCACUUUAUGUAUCUCCUUAUCUCCUCACAAAAGAAUGGUGCUGUGACUCCAAAUCUUCUCUUCCUCCACCAUUAAAAACUGCAGGCAUCUUUUCCCUGUCUUAGCGUAAGUAAUGGAACCAAA